ensembl:snRNA U6 U6 spliceosomal RNA
CUGCUCACUUGGGCAGCUCAUCCACUAAAACCAGGAUGAUUCAGAGAAAGUAAGUAUGGCUCUUGCACAAGGACAAUAUGUAGUCAGGAAGUAGUCUAUUUUUUU